GGGAAAUUUGCGCAAUGGGGCGAAGCCUGACGCAGCAACGCCGCGUGAACGAUGAAGCCCUUAGGGGUGUAAAGUUCUGUCAGUAGGGACGAAUAAUGACGGUACCUACAGAGGAAGCACCGGCUAACUCCGUGCCAGCAGCCGCGGUAAUACGGGGGGUGCAAGCGUUGUCCGGAAUCAUUGGGCGUAAAGCGUUCGUAGGCGGCAUACCAAGUCUGGUGUUAAAUCCCGGGGCUCAACUCCGGUUCGGCGCUGGAUACUGGUAAGCUAGAAUGUGGUAGAGGUAAAGGGAAUUCCUGGUGUAGCGGUGAAAUGCGUAGAUAUCAGGAGGAACACCGGUGGCGUAAGCGCUUUACUGGGCCAUAAUUGACGCUGAGGAACGAAAGCCGGGGGAGCAAAUGGGAUUAGAUACCCCAGUAGUCCCGGCCGUAAACGAUGGAUACUAGGUGUUGCGGGUAUCGACCCCUGCAGUGCCGCAGCCAACGCGAUAAGUAUCCCGCCUGGGGAGUACGCACGCAAGUGUGAAACUCAAAGGAAUUGACGGGGACCCGCACAAGCGGUGGAACAUGUGGUUUAAUUCGAAGCAACGCGAAAAACCUUACCAGGGCUUGACAUCUGAGGAACCUCUAUGAAAGUAGAGGGUGCUUUUCGGAGAGCCUCAAGACAGGUGGUGCACGGCUGUCGUCAGCUCGUGUCGUGAGAUGUUGGGUUAAGUCCCGCAACGAGCGCAACCCUCGUUAUUAGUUGCUUGCAUUGGCUUGCUGAUGCAGAGCUCUCUAAUAAGACUGCCGGUGAUAAACCGGAGGAAGGUGGGGACGACGUCAAGUCAUCAUGCCCCUUAUGCUCUGGGCUACACACGUGUUACAAUGGUUAGGACAAUGAGCAGCCAACUCGCGAGAGUGAGCAAAUCUCUUAAACCUAAUCUCAGUUCGGAUUGCAGUCUGCAACUCGACUGCAUGAAGUCGGAAUCGCUAGUAAACGCAGAUCAGCACGCUGCGUUGAAUACGUUCCCGGGUCUUGUACUCACCGCCCGU
rnacentral:rRNA from 1 species